GCUUGCUAGAUAUGAUUAGUGGCGGACGGGUGAGUAACAUUUAGGAAUCUGCCUAGUAGUGGGGGAUAGCUCGGGGAAACUCGAAUUAAUACCGCAUACGACCUACGGGUGGAAGGGGGCGCAAGCUCUUGCUAUUAGAUGAGCCUAAAUCAGAUUAGCUAGUUGGUGGGGUAAAGGCCCACCAAGGCGACGAUCUGUAACUGGUCUGAGAGGAUGAUCAGUCACACCGGAACUGAGACACGGUCCGGACUCCUACGGGAGGCAGCAGUGGGGAAUAUUGGACAAUGGGGGCAACCCUGAUCCAGCCAUGCCGCGUGUGUGAAGAAGGCCUUUUGGUUGUAAAGCACUUUAAGCAGGGAGGAGAGGCUAAUGGUUAAUACCCAUUAGAUUAGACGUUACCUGCAGAAUAAGCACCGGCUAACUCUGUGCCAGCAGCCGCGGUAAUACAGAGGGUGCGAGCGUUAAUCGGAAUUACUGGGCGUAAAGCGAGUGUAGGUGGCUCAUUAAGUCACAUGUGAAAUCCCCGGGCUUAACCUGGGAACUGCAUGUGAUACUGGUGGUGCUAGAAUAUGUGAGAGGGAAGUAGAAUUCCAGGUGUAGCGGUGAAAUGCGUAGAGAUCUGGAGGAAUACCGAUGGCGAAGGCAGCUUCCUGGCGUAAUAUUGACACUGAGAUUCGAAAGCGUGGGUAGCAAACAGGAUUAGAUACCCUGGUAGUCCACGCCGUAAACGAUGUCUACUAGCCGUUGGGGUCCUUGAGACUUUAGUGGCGCAGUUAACGCGAUAAGUAGACCGCCUGGGGAGUACGGCCGCAAGGUUAAAACUCAAAUGAAUUGACGGGGGGCCCGCACAAGCGGUGGAGCAUGUGGUUUAAUUCGAUGCAACGCGAAGAACCUUACCUGGUCUUGA
rnacentral:rRNA from 1 species